rnacentral:antisense_RNA from 1 species
UAUACAAACAGUAAACCUUCCUUAGGAAGUUGUCGGCUAUUUGGAUGGCCAAAUUGGAUGUACUCUUGGGUCGGUCAGGCUUGUCGGUGGUGGCUAUAGUUGGCUGUCUCUGGGGCAUGACGCUGGAGCUGAUAGCGACAAACUUCAGGCCGGUUAGGGUCUGAUAUAUGAACAUCGUGAACUGAUCCGUGCAUAGUUGUCUCAAUCCGCUCUUGUUCCAGUUCGUAAAUGGUUCUUUGAAAAAAUCAUCUCCUUUAAAACUGCCCAGUUUUUCAUUAUUAGUGUGUUUGUUGUUAUUGCCACCUCCAUUUCUUGUAUCGCUCCUAUUGCUGGACAUGCCCACGUAAGGUAUAUAUGGGAUGGUAUUUUCGAUGUUCGUUUGUUGAGUUAGCUGUAAUGCCUUCGGAGUCAGCUGGCUCGCGAUGGCGAAUACACCGUGCAGUGUACUAGCAAGAAUUAAGUAUUCAUUGCUGUUCAAUUUCUGUUCGUCGUUGGUAAAAUUCCGCUGAUAGAUUAGUCCGCCUGAUUUGUUUAUUACAAGUAUUGUUUCGAUGGCCAUUUCAAUUUUUCCCGUUUAAAUCCAACACUAAAAUUGCACUUUUGAACUUAUGCAAAGGCAGAUUCCUUUUUUUAGUUUCACUCUUUUUCUUCUCUUCGCACCGCCCAACUCCUGCCGAGGAGGCAUAAACUCCAACAUAUGAUGGAAAAAUAAAAGAAUGUGUAGCAUAUUAUUGAAAGAAUCUUCUAUAGGCCUAAAUGUACAUAAAUUAUAAAACAACAUUUUAAAGCAGAACCCAGUAGUGGAAAUU